UUGAACGCUGGCGGCAUGCCUUACACAUGCAAGUCGAACGGUAACAGGUCUUCGGAUGCUGACGAGUGGCGAACGGGUGAGUAAUACAUCGGAACGUGCCCGAUCGUGGGGGAUAACGCAGCGAAAGCUGUGCUAAUACCGCAUACGAUCUACGGAUGAAAGCGGGGGAUCGCAAGACCUCGCGCGGACGGAGCGGCCGAUGGCAGAUUAGGUAGUUGGUGGGAUAAAGGCCUACCAAGGCGACGAUCGAUAGCUGGUCUGAGAGGACGACCAGCCACACUGGAACUGAGACACGGUCCAGACUCCUACGGGAGGCAGCAGUGGGGAAUUUUGGACAAUGGGGGCAACCCUGAUCCAGCCAUUCCGCGUGAGUGAAGAAGGCCUUCGGGUUGUAAAGCUCUUUCGGCAGGAACGAAACGGUAAGGGCUAAUAUCCUUUGCUAAUGACGGUACCUGAAGAAGAAGCACCGGCUAACUACGU
rnacentral:rRNA from 1 species